AGUCUUCUCUCUGUUUCUUUUUUAUCAAAAUAUAAAUAAUCCAUACAUAGCAGAAUCAGCCGGUGAAGAUUUAUUUAUAAUUAAUAAUACUGACAUAAUAAUGACAUUAAUACAAUUCGAGACGCUACAGGAAAAGAUAACAGGCAAUUGGAGUAUGAGCAAGAAAAAGAAAGGCGUUGGCAAUUGCAAAGAGAUGAAUAGACGAAGAAACAAAUAGACAGAGACUAAUAAAAUAUAGAGAACUAAAAGAGACUAAGAAGAGGUAGAGAAAUAACAAUAAUUAAUAGAAAAAUUGCUUUCCAGUAAUUUAAGCAAAUUGCCACAAAACCAAGCAGAAUUUUAUGCAGCAUGAGGUUGAUGUUUCAAAAUCUAGUAUUGCGGCUUUUGCGGGCAUAUAAAGCAGAUGAGGAUGUUAAUUUCGUUUGUGAAUGUGCAACCAAUUGAUGACCAAUCAAAUAAUAAAAAUCCUGAACCAAUACACACCAGCUGACGAUUCGAAUUCCUGCUUUGUUCAUUAAAAGAGUACAAGAUAAACUAAAAGAACGCGUGAACAAUGAACAGCUGUUAAUGGAUCUAAAUUAUUCCUAUCCUGUAAGAUUUCCGUUCAAUCUAUCAGUCAUUCGAUUGGAAGACAUUGAGGUACCUGAAUUCUUAUUUGUAUGAAAGCAGCAGUACCAAUAAAAUCCGACUUAUUAGACGCAUCGAAAGCGGUUUAUCGUGAUAUAUUAUCAUAUACAUGAUAUUAUACAUGUUUCUUUUUUAUUCGGAUAAUUUAUAGAUUUUACAAUAUGUUGUUCCAAAUCGUGCUCACGUUUAAAGUCAAUUCCGUUGUGCAAAUAAAUGUGAUCGGGUC